UCUCUGGGCCUGUGUCUUAGGCUCUGCGUGUUCGACCGAGCAAAGCACACGGCCUGCAGAGAGC
rnacentral:pre_miRNA from 1 species